rnacentral:hammerhead_ribozyme from 1 species
AUCCAGCUGACGAGUCCUGAAUAGGACGAAAAGUAUUUCCAAUAU